rnacentral:rRNA from 1 species
UACGAAGGGGGCGAGCGUUGUUCGGAAUCACUGGGCGUAAAGGGCGUGUAGGCGGGUAGGCAAGUCGGGCGUGAAAUCCCUGAGCUCAACUCAGGAACUGCACUCGAAACUGCUUAUCUUGAGUGCCGGAGAGGAAAGCGGGAAUACCUGGUGUAGAGGUGAAAAUUCGUAGAUAUCAGGUGGAACACCAGUGGCGAAGGCGGCUUUCUGGACGGUAACUGACGCUGAGACGCGAAAGCGUGGGGGAUCAAACAGG